rnacentral:rRNA from 1 species
GAAGAGUUUGAUCAUGGCUCAGAUUGAACGCUGGCGGCAGGCUUAACACAUGCAAGUCGAGCGGAAACGAUGGGAGCUUGCUCCCAGGCGUCGAGCGGCGGACGGGUGAGUAACGCGUAGGAAUCUACCCAGUAGCGGGGGAUAGCCCGGGGAAACUCGGAUUAAUACCGCAUACGCCCUAUGGGGGAAAGCAGGGGAUCUUCGGACCUUGCACUAUUGGAUGAGCCUGCGUGAGAUUAGCUUGUUGGUGGGGUAACGGCCUACCAAGGCGAUGAUGGCUAGCGGGUCUGAGAGGAUGAUCCGUCACACUGGGACUGAGACACUGCCCAGACUCCUACGGGAGGCUGCAGUCGAGAAUCUUCCGCAAUGGGGGCAACCCUGACGGAGCGACGCCGCGUGCGGGACGAAGGCCUUCGGGUUGUAAACCGCUGUCGUAGGUUAAGAAAUGUCUUGUCGUGAAAGCGGCUUGACUUGACAAAGGCCUAAAAGGAAGCCACGGCUAACUUCGUGCCAGCAGCCGCGGUAAGACGAAGGUGGCAACCGUUGUUCGGAAUCACUGGGCAUAAAGAGCACGUAGGCGGGUCUUUAAGUCGGGUGUGAAAUCCCUCGGCCCAACCGAGGAACUGCGCCCGAUACUGAAGGCCUUGAGGGCAGGAGGGGAGUGUGGAAUUCCUGGUGGAGCGGUGAAAUGCGUUGAUAUCAGGAGGAACACCGGCGGCGAAGGCGACACUCUGGCCUGCUUCUGACGCUGAGGUGCGAAAGCUAGGGUAGCGAACGGGAUUAGAUACCCCGGUAGUCCUAGCCGUAAACGAUGAGCACUAGGUAGGGGGGAUCCCAAUGCCUCCCUGCUGGAGUUAAUAUUUUAAGUGCUCCGCCUGGGGAGUAUAGUCGCAAGGCUGAAACUCAAAGGAAUUGACGGGGGCUCACACAAGCG